GUGGCUCGAAAUCCCAUUAACGUACCCAAAAUCCCAAUAAAGUGCCCCAAAAUCCCACUGAUGAGACCCAAAACCCCAUUAAAGUGACCCCAAAUCCCAAUAAAGUGCCCCAAAACCCCAUUCUGUGACUCAAAACCCCAUUAAAUGACCCCAAAUCCCAUUGAAGUGACCCCAAAUCCCAUUAAUGGACCCCAAAUCCCAUUGAAGUGACCCCAAAUCCCAUUAAAGUGACCCCAAAUCCCAUUGAAGUGACCCCAAAUCCCAUUAAUUGACCCCAAAUCCCAUUGAAGUGACCCCAAAUCCCAUUAAUUGACCCCAAAUCCCAUUAAAGUGACCCCAAAUCCCAUUAAUGGACCCCAAAUCCCAUUAAUUGCACCCCAAAUCCCAUUGAAGUGACCCCAAAUCCCAUUAAUGGACCCCAAAUCCCAUUAAUUGCACCCCAAAUCCCAUUGAAGUGACCCCAAAUCCCAUUAAAUGACCCCAAAUCCCAUUGAAGUGACCCCAAAUCCCAUUGAAGUGACCCCAAAUCCCAUUGAAGUGACCCCAAAUCCCAUUGAUUUCACCCCAUAAGUGCCCCUCUGCCCCAUAAGUGCCCCCUCUGCCCCAUAAAACCCCCUUUUUUGCCCCAUAAGUGCCCCU
ensembl:lncRNA